rnacentral:rRNA from 1 species
GACGAGGGAUCCUAGCGUUGUUCGGAAUUAUUGGGCGUAAAGGGCUCGUAGGCGGUUUGUCGCGUCGGGAGUGAAAACACGGGGCUUAACCCCGUGCCUGCUUCCGAUACGGGCAGACUAGAGGUAUGCAGGGGAGAACGGAAUUCCUGGUGUAGCGGUGAAAUGCGCAGAUAUCAGGAGGAACACCGGUGGCGAAGGCGGUUCUCUGGGCAUUACCUGACGCUGAGGAGCGAAAGUGUGGGGAGCGAACAGG